AUUGAACGCUGGCGGCAUGCCUUACACAUGCAAGUCGAACGGUAACAGGUCUUCGGAUGCUGACGAGUGGCGAACGGGUGAGUAAUACAUCGGAACGUGCCCGAUCGUGGGGGAUAACGGAGCGAAAGCUUUGCUAGUACCGCAUACGAUCUACGGAUGAAAGCAGGGGACCGCAAGGCCUUGCGCGGACGGAGCGGCCGAUGGCAGAUUAGGUAGUUGGUGGGAUAAAAGCUUACCAAGCCGACGAUCCGUAGCUGGUCUGAGAGGACGACCAGCCACACUGGGACUGAGACACGGCGCAGACUCCUACGGGAGGCAGCAGUGGGGAAUUUUGGACAAUGGGCGAAAGCCUGAUCCAGCAAUGCCGCGUGCAGGAUGAAGGCCUUCGGGUUGUAAACUGCUUUUGUACGGAACGAAAAAGCUUCUCCUAAUACGAGAGGCCCAUGACGGUACCGUAAGAAUAAGCACCGGCUAACUACGUGCCAGCCGCCGCGGUAAGAC
rnacentral:rRNA from 1 species